GACGAACGCUGGCGGCGUGCUUAACACAUGCAAGUCGAGCGGUAAGGCCCUUUCGGGGUACGACGAGCGGCGAACGGGUGAGUAACACGUGGGUGACCUGCCUUUAGUCUCUGGGAGUAAGCCUGGGAAACGUAGGGUCGUAAUACCGGAUAUGACUCCGCGGUGCAUGCUGUGGGGUGGAAAGCCUUGUGCGGCUGGAGAUGGGCCCGCGGCCUAUCAGCUUGUUGGUGGGGUGAUGGCCUACCAAGGCGACGACGGGUAGCCGGCCUGAGAGGGCGACCGGCCACACUGGGACUGAGACACGGCCCAGACUCCUACGGGAGGCAGCAGUGGGGAAUCUUGCGCAAUGGGCGAAAGCCUGACGCAGCGACGCCGCGUGA
rnacentral:rRNA from 1 species